CAAUAGCGUAUAUUAAAGUUGUUGCAGUUAAAAAGCUCGUAGUUGGAUUUCGGGGUGGCCUGCCUGGUCCACCGCAAGGUGAGUACUGGUCAGCCGCCCUUCCUCUCGAAAGCCCCGACUGCUCUUCAUUGCAGUGGUCGGGUAGUUCGGGACGUUUACUUUGAAAAAAUUAGAGUGUUCAAGGCAGGCCGUCGCCUGAAUACAUUAGCAUGGAAUAAUGGAAGAGGACCUCGGUCCUAUUUUGUUGGUUUCUAGGGCCGAAGUAAUGAUUAAGAGGGACAGUUGGGGCAUUCGUAUUUAAUUGUCAGAGGUGAAAUUCUUGGAUUUAUGAAAGACGAACUAGUGCGAAAGCAUUUGCCAAGGAUGUUUUCAUUGA
rnacentral:rRNA from 1 species